rnacentral:misc_RNA from 1 species
AAUACAAACUGUUGGGAUGGUCAAGAAUGCUUCUUCAUUUUCUCUUUUCUUCUCUCUGUCCUCCAAUAUUGAGAGAAUUUAGUUCAACUGUAACAUGAGGCAGCAAGUUAUUGGUAGCAUAAUUUAAUUUCGUAUUUAUGUUAGAACUUAUUUUAAAUCGUGAAUUAGCAUUUUGCAAACUUUUACAAAGUAGUUAUACAAAAGAUUACAUUGUGUUUAUUCCUUGACGAAGAUUAAAGGUUCUCAUCUUUUCUGAAAGUUGAAUGACUUGAUGGAGAAGGCAAAGACGAACCCGAAGAGCAUAGCGAUCCCAACAUGUACCAUCGCGACAACUCCAAUAAAAUCAUGUCGAAACCCAAAAUAACUCCUUAAGAAAUGUUCCACUGUCUCACCAGUGUCUAAUGCCUCCUUCACAUCUCCAUAUUGUGAAGCAACUAAUCCAUAAAAUGUCCAAGAAACAGGGCACGUCCAGUAGCACCAUCUCCACCACACAGGAAUUCUCUUUCGAGGAAUGAUAAAUCCUGAUGUAAUGUUCCAAAUUAAAUAGAAGACGGUGGAAACUCUAGAAGCAAUGUUUUGGUUAGGUGUAGCAGCCACAGUCAUCAUCCCAUACAAAGUGAAGUAUAAGAAGCUGAAAUACAUGAAUAAAAUAUGCCAAAAGAACUUGCUAACUGUCCAUUCAAACCCGAUCAUGGCAUACACUAUUGCUACAUAUAUUAUAGUCUGAAAUAAAAUAUAUGGGAGUUCAAUCACAACCUGUCCAAAAGCAUAUGGCAAUGCAGAAUACAUUGCAGCUGCUCUUUCUCUAUAAAAUACUGUUCUCUCAAUAGCCACAACCGGCUGCACUGAUGAAGCAUUCAUAAAUCCUAAGAAGAAAACAGCAGCAUAUAUGGAACCCAUUGCAUUUAAGAUAUCUUGUUGCUUGCUUCUUUUGGAGCCCAAAUUCCAGAAUAUUGUUCCUAUCAUUAAAGCCGUGAGUGUUGUGCUUAAAAGUCUUACUGCAGAGUAAGGUGGGUUUCGCCAGUAUGACCAAUGCUGCUUCCAAAGACAAGCCAUACAUUGUGUAAAGAAGGACUUUGAGUAUUGAGUUGGGAAAUACAGAUCUUUUGAAGCUGGCGGAGGUUUGCUUAAUUCCUUGAUCAAGGCUUUGUUUCUCCUGUAUAGUUCUGAGUUCUUGU